UUUAGACACUAGCCUGGGACACUUGGGCUGACCACGGUUGCCUAUAGUUUUCAUUUUGUUGUUGAUUCUUUGCAGUUUUCUACGUAGACAAUCAACUGUAAACAAAGACGUUUCUCUCCCAAUUUGCGUAAGCUGUUAUUCCCUUCCUGGUCUUGUCAGCUUAGCUAGCAAUUCCACUGCAGUGCUAAUCCCGAACAGCACAGGUGGCACAGAGCGCUAUACCCCCACCCCCAGGGAGGUGUCACGGCAGAACUGUCACUGCUGCGAAAGGCCUGGGCCCAGAUGAUGCUGUCUUGCCUUGGUCCCCAGCUGAGACAAACCAUGAGAACAUCAGGUGCGCUUCCUCACCUGACACCUAGAGGACAGAGCCGGUACGGCUCAGGGUUCUUACCUAAACUACUCGCAAACUCCACAUCCUGGCAUAUAAAGACACAAGCAAAAUGAGGAACUGGGAAGUUUUUUCCUCCUUCUAAAUUCAUAAUCUGCUGGACUUUGUCUGUUGAUUACCGAAGGUGUUGUCUGAGCUUUCUGGUAAACACAAGCUUGGCUACAAACAAAACACAGCUCCUGCUCUUCACUGGUCACAGGCAACAGGGGAACUGCAGCCUUGCCCGCUGCGUACAAGCCUGGUACCAUGCAGGGCUUUGGGUUGGCACAGGAAGCUGUCCCACGCCAGGGCACGUCUCGCCUCACGAGCCUCGGGCUCUGAAGCUUCCCUGUAUUGUCUCUGACCUAGUGUUAGCACCAAUUUCCUCCCACUUCACUUUCUGACCCUGUGGAGGAACACGGCCAGAGGCAAGCGAAAUACUCUCACAAACGCGCCGUUCCAGUUCUUCACUCAUAACCUUUAACGCUAAAAUUCUCGUUUUUUUUAAGACUCCUGCCCUCAGCCCUGACGGUUCCUGGCCACAACUUUAAUUUCUCAAAAGGUGAGAGCGAUGUCUUCAUCAUCUCUGUCUUCUUGCCUUCUUGGAUUCAAAGUCGGACAUAAUGAAUCAAGUAACAGGUUUUCCUAAGAAUCCCGUCUUCAGCAGUCCGUCUUGCAGCACUCAGUCACCAUAACAUCCUUAUACUGGAUCCCUGUCGCCGUGGUCAUCGGGGGGAAGGAUUUGGGAAGGAUUAUGUGCUAUCCUAUCUCCGGUUUUGGCCUGAUUCCCCGGGCUGACCCUCACAGGUGGUCUGGUUUUGUUUUGCUUUCCUUACCCUGCAAGACAAGGAAAAGCAGCUGGAGCUGAAACCGUCCAUCCCCUCCCUCCUCAGCCAGGUUCUGGCCACCCUGGCAAAGGCUUCCCUUGAGGGAAAGCCUUCCUUCCUUACCGACCCCUUAACAGCGGGGCGCUCUUCAGAGUCAGCUGCCCCUCCAGUGUGCUUCAGAGCAGCUGCUUUGCCUCCGUUUCCUGCAGGAAACUGGAAGGGCCCACCCUUGACCAGGACGGCCCAGCAGGGACGCUGGGGCUCUCAGCUCCAGUUGCCAACACGGCAUCCAUCCAGCCCAAUGUUCCAACAUCACUGGCGCCGACAGCACCUCUCCAGGAAGGUGCUCUCUUCGUUUUUGGGGUGGUUUGCUCAGUGAUAAUUCUUGCAUGUUUGUAAGAAAAGCCGUUGAUUUUCAGCCGAUUGAACCCUUCAUGUUACUGUGAGGAAGGGUAUGGUAUGCUGACUUCCUUGAGGUGCUGGGACGGAAACUGGAGCCAGCCCUGGGGACUAAACCCAGGGCUUCCACACGAAGCUACACCCCCAAGGCCCUUCUCAGUCUGGGACAUCUCCCACAUUCUCCAGGAUGGGGCUCCCUCCUGCCUCUGCAGGAGGAAGAGCUCCUGCACCCAUGUGCCAGGAAGCACUGACCUUAGCUCCCAGCUGUGACUGAGGAACAGGGGUUACGAUGGCUCUAGGUAUUUGUAGCACAUGGUAUAGAUCAAUGUCUACUGAAUUGAAGGAGAACUGGGAAAAACAAUUUUCAACACUUUUCACUAAUUAAAACAAAGUACUACUUUUA